GGGGACUUAGCUCAGUGGCAUAAGCACCUGCCUUGCAAGCAGGCAGUUGUGAGUUCAAUCCCCA
rnacentral:tRNA from 1 species